CAUCAAAACCUCCGGACCGAAACCCUUUUAUCAUUUUUUUGGCUAAAGCUUUCGAUGAAUACAUCAAUGGCGUCCUCCUCCCUUUCCCCUGCUACUCAGCUUGGUUCGAGCAGAAGCGCUUUGAUGGCGGCGAUGUCGCGUGGGUUGUUCGUGAAGCCAACGAAGACGAAUCAUCAAAUGGUAAGAAAGGAGAAGACUGGAUUGAGAAUUGCU